GUUGAUUGGCUCACGGAAGUGCCACACAGCGGAUUCAUCCAUUGGUAAGUGCAGUAGCUCAAUGUGCUAUGAGGAGGCGGGGCCUGACUGGCGGUUGUCACUGGGGGCGGGGCGAGACCUCAACAGGCAUGUUCUUGACUCGGCUCCUUUCUUCUCUCUCUGCUUCCUAGCUGUCUCGAGUUGAGCAUCUUUGCCUCCACCAAACCCCUCUGCCAUGCUGUUUUUUCGCCUUGGAGCCAACUGACCAUGGACUAAAACUAUGCAACGGAAAAGUCAAAAGUACUCUGUAACGGGUUCCCUGCCUGCAAAGCAUUUACAGCCCCAGGUGGAAAUCUCACGCCUAUACAUGAUUUAAAAAAAAUAAAAAUAAAAGCCAUGGCACCAGGGACAUGCAUGAAACUCCACCUCUGCCCUACAGGCACUCACCAGUUGGUGGGGAAGGCAGGAACGACCCACACUGCACUCAAGGACAUGACGGCUUUCAAGGGUAUACCCAGGAAAGCAUCCAGAUCUCAGUUAAACUGACUUACAAUCAACUUGAGUAACAACCAGUUCUUGGUAACCGUUCAAGUUCUUAAAUCAAGAGUCUACUAUACUUCCAAAGGCCCCUGGUGACUCACCUCCUCCAACCAGACCCACCACCACUUAGCAGCACCGUCAGCAUCAGUGAACUCAUCAACUGAGGAGUAUCUGCACUACCAGCUUCCGGUCACCUCUCCAGGAGUCUCUUAAUCCAG